rnacentral:rRNA from 1 species
GUGUCAGCAGCCGCGGUAAGACGAAGGAUGCAAGCGUUAUCCGGAUUCAUUGGGUUUAAAGGGAGCGUAGGCGGCCUUAUAAGUCAGUGGUGAAAUCUCCCGGCUUAACCGGGAAAUUGCCAUUGAUACUGUAGGGCUUGAGUACAGUUGCCGUUGGCGGAAUAUGACAUGUAGUGGUGAAAUACAUAGAGAUGUCAUAGAACACCGAUUGCGAAGGCAGCUAACGAAGCUGUAACUGACGCUGAGGCUCGAAAGUGCGGGGAUCAAACAGGAUUAGAUACCCUAGUAGUCC